rnacentral:rRNA from 1 species
ACCAAAGCUAGCCCAAACACAAACCAAACCUGUAUAAACAAUAACCCCUCAUUAAAAUAAAACAUUUAUCACACAAAAGUAUAGGAGAUAGAAAUUUUAAUAUUGGAGCUAUAGAGAAAGUACCGCAAGGGAACGAGUGAAAGAUCAAUUUAAAGUAUUAAAUAGCAAAGAUUACCCCUUGUACCUUUUGCAUAAUGAUUUAACCAGAAAAAACUUAGCACAGCGACCUUAAGUUAAGCCCCCCGAAACCAGACGAGCUAUCCAUGAACAGCUAAUCUGAGCAAACUCGUCUAUGUAGCAAAAUAGUGAGAAGAUUUAUGGAUAGAGGUGAAAAGCCUAUCGAGCCUGGUGAUAGCUGGUUGUCCAGCCAAGAAUUUUAGUUCAACUUUAAAUUUACUAAACUAAGCUACAAAUUAUCAUGUAAAUUUAAUUGUUAAUCUAAAGAGGUACAGCUCUUUAGAUCAAGGAUACAACCUUAAUUAGAGAGUAAAACUUAACAAUAACCAUAGUUGGCUUAAAAGCAGCCAUCAAUUAAGAAAGCGUUCAAGCUCAACAAAAAUCCUCCCUUAAUUUAAUAAUUUUUAAUCAACUCCUAAUAAAACACUGGACUAAUCUAUAAUCUUAUAGAAGAAAUACUGUUAAUAUGAGUAACAAGAUUCUAAUCUCCCAAGCGCAAACUUAUGUCAGAUCAAAUAAUAGCUGAUAAUUAACAGCCAAAUAAACAAAACCUAAAAUUAACUAUUUAUACUCUUACUGUUAACCCGACACAGGAGCGCUAUCCACCAAAGGAAAGAUUAAAAGAAGUAAAAGGAACUCGGCAAACACAAACCCCGCCUGUCUACCAAAAACAUCACCUCUAGCAUUUUAAGUAUUAGAGGCAAUGCCUGCCCAGUGACAAUUGUUAAACGGCCGCGGUAUCCUGACCGUGCAAAGGUAGCAUAAUCAUUUGUUCCUUAAAUAGGGACUUGUAUGAAUGGCCACACGAGGGUUUAACUGUCUCUUACUUCCAAUCAGUGAAAUUGACCUUUCCGUGAAGAGGCGGAAAUAAACUAAUAAGACGAGAAGACCCUAUGGAGCUUUAAUUAUUUAAUUCAAUAGAAUUAUAUUACCCCACUAAUCUUUAGUGAAUUAACACCUAUUCUAACUGAAUUAAAAAUUUUGGUUGGGGUGACCUCGGAGUACAAAAUAACCUCCGAGAAUCUUAUACUGAGACUUACAAGUCAAAGCAAACACACUAAUGAUCCAGUCUAACUGAUCAACGGAACAAGUUACCCUAGGGAUAACAGCGCAAUCCUAUUCAAGAGUUCAUAUCGACAAUAGGGUUUACGACCUCGAUGUUGGAUCAGGACAUCCUAAUGGUGCAGCCGCUAUUAAUGGUUCGUUUGUUCAACGAUUAAAGUCCUACGUGAUCUGAGUUCAGACCGGAGUAAUCCAGGUCGGUUUCUAUCUAUUUAGUAUUUCUCCCAGUACGAAAGGACAAGAGAAAUAGAGCCAACUUACACCUAAGCGCUCUAAAGUAAAUAAAUGAUAUUAUAUUAAUUUAAUAAACUUACUAUAAAUCCACUUUAGAUCAAAGUUUC